rnacentral:rRNA from 1 species
UACGUAGGGUGCAGGCGUUAAUCGGAAUUACUGGGCGUAAAGCGUGCGCAGGCGGCUCCUUAAGUCAGAUGUGAAGGCCCCGGGCUUAACCUGGGAACUGCGUUUGAAACUGGGGAGCUAGAGUGUAGAAGAGGGGGGUGGAAUUCCAGGUGUAGCAGUGAAAUGCGUAGAUAUCUGGAGGAACACCGAUGGCGAAGGCAGCCCCCUGGGCUAACACUGACGCUCAUGCACGAAAGCGUGGGGAGCAAACAGG